UGGGGAAUAUUGGACAAUGGGCGCAAGCCUGAUCCAGCCAUGCCGCGUGAGUGAUGAAGGCCUUAGGGUUGUAAAGCUCUUUUGUCCGGGAAGAUAAUGACCGUACCGGAAGAAUAAGCUCCGGCUAACUUCGUGCCAGCAGCCGCGGUAAUACGAAGGGAGCUAGCGUUGUUCGGAAUUACUGGGCGUAAAGCGCAUGCAGGCGGAUCGUUAAGUCGGGGGUGAAAUCCCAGGGCUCAACCCUGGAACUGCCUUCGAUACUGGCGACCUUGAGUCCGGGAGAGGUGAGUGGAACUCCGAGUGUAGAGGUGAAAUUCGUAGAUAUUCGGAAGAACACCAGUGGCGAAGGCGGCUCACUGGCCCGGUACUGACGCUGAGAUGCGAAAGCGUGGGGAGCAAACA
rnacentral:rRNA from 1 species